rnacentral:misc_RNA from 1 species
AGGUAUUUGCUCCACCCCGAAUUCGUAACCUCUUCAACAACCUUUCCCUUCACCCACAUAACCGGCAUAUCCAUAAACAGGUGGUUCAAAGACGCUGCCGCAGUGCUUAUCCAUUGAUCCACACCCCCGGCAAGAACUGCUGCAGCAGCCUCAGCUGCUUUCCUCCACUGCUCUGUUUGUACUCUAAGCUUCUUCAGUUCGCUUUCUAAUGCCUUUGUGGUAGCUUCUAGCUUAUCAUUUACCUUAAAAUUGCGUUUACUUGUUUCCAGCUCUUGUCCCAAAAGAUUCAACCUGAUAGUUAACUACUCUUGCUUGGCCUGAGCUGAUGAUAUCUCCAAAGUUUUUU